GACGAACCGUGCGAACGUUGUUCGGAAUCACUGGGCUUAAAGGGCGCGUAGGCGGCUUGCCAAGUCAGUGGUGAAAUCCCACAGCUUAACUGUGGAAGUGCCUUUGAUACUGGCGAGCUCGAGGGAGGUAGGGGUAUGUGGAACUUCUGGUGAAGCGGUGAAAUGCGUUGAUAUCAGAAGGAACGCCGGUGGCGAAAGCGACGUACUGGACCUCUUCUGACGCUGAGGCGCGAAAGCUAGGGGAGCAAACGGG
rnacentral:rRNA from 2 species